UACGUAGGGGGCAAGCGUUGUCCGGAAUCAUUGGGCGUAAAGAGCUCGUAGGCGGCCUGUCGCGUCCGCUGUGAAAUCCCGGGGCUCAACCCCGGGCCUGCAGUGGAUACGGGCUGGCUGGAGGCAGGCAGGGGAGAACGGAAUUCCUGGUGUAGCGGUGAAAUGCGCAGAUAUCAGGAGGAACACCGGUGGCGAAGGCGGUUCUCUGGGCCUGUACUGACGCUGGAGGAGCGAAAGCGUGGGGAGCGAACAGG
rnacentral:rRNA from 1 species